rnacentral:rRNA from 1 species
AAAGCGAAUAGUGAAAUCAGGCGGCUCAACCGUACUGGCUAUUAUUCGAACUCACUAACUCGAGAGUGGUAGAGGUAACUGGAAUUUCUUGUGUAGGAGUGAAAUCCGUAGAUAUAAGAAGGAACACCAAUGGCGUAGGCAGGUUACUGGACCAUUUCUGACACUAAGGCACGAAAGCGUGGGGAGCGAACCGGAUUAGAUACCCGGGUAGUCCACGCCGUAAACUAUGGAUGCUA